UACGGGGGGGGCAAGCGUUGUUCGGAAUUACUGGGCGUAAAGCGCGCGUAGGCGGCUUUUCAAGUCAGACGUGAAAGCCCCAGGCUUAACCUGGGAAUUGCGUUUGAUACUGUUAGGCUAGAGUGCGGAAGGGGCUACUGGAAUUCCGUGUGUAGCGGUGAAAUGCGUAGAUAUUCGGAAGAACACCAGUGGCGAAGGCGGCUCACUGGCCCGGUACUGACGCUGAGGUGCGAAAGCGUGGGGAGCAAACAGG
rnacentral:rRNA from 1 species